CAACGGUCUUCUUCCAAGGUUCCCAAAGAGGCAGAGGAGGAGUUGGAGACCAACAAGGCCGCAGGCCGCCAUUCAAUUCAAACUCGACAUCAAAUUUGGACUGUUGGAACUGUGGGAAACGGGGACACUUGGCAAGAGUGUGUCGUCGUGUAAAACAAAACCAAUCAAAGGGCGGAGGAAGAGGCAGAGGAAAAGUCACAUUUACAGCAUGACAAGCUUCCUCCACUUUGACCCCUCAUGCUAAUACAGAGAAAGAAAGAAUAGAUGCCCAUAUGACAGCAAAACAUGUCAUUGUCAGAUUAUUAGAACAUUUUUCGGAUUAUUGGAGCUCCUGUCCAUACAGGGAGUGUGACAAUGCUGUUUGUAUGCCCAAUGACAAGUUACCAGAGAUCAAAUUGUGUGCACACAAAAGUUAAAAUUUGCAAAUCAAGUGGUAAAUAAAUGCAACUUGCUUCUAAAAGAUAAAUAAAAAAAUUAGAAUGUGCUGUCCUCGCGUGAGUGGGCGGGAACCAGCUCAUGAUUGACUGCAGGAAAUGGCCUGCCUGUGACGAAUCAUUGAUGCCGGGCCCCAGCCCUCGCGCGCGAGAGCUGUGCAUGUGUGUGCGUAUGUUAAAAUGAUGAAAUUGGCUAAACCUUUAGU